ensembl:lncRNA
GGAAAACACUCAGGCCUACCUGUCUCGACUCUCCCCACAGUCGGCUCUUUCCUGAGGAUAUCAGCCACCACAUCUCUCCGCAGAUCAAACUUUGUCUUCAGCUUCAGCAUAGUGGCUACUGAUCCCCUUCUUGUCGUCAAAUAACACUUCCUCUUUCAAUGUGUGCGACUUGUUUUGGAGCUAACAUCUAGAAGUAACAUAGAGAUGCACAAACCACUAUCGAAGAAACAGACACCUUGCGUACACCUGGCGAUCAACCGGUGUCAUCUGAAGCAAGCAAGCAGUCACGUGACAUCGACAGAAACGUUAAGUGGAGAACCACAAUCUGAGUCUCAUUGGUCGGACGCCAGCUUUGGAAGGCAGAAGACAUGCGGAAAUGUCACUUUUGUUUCCUGGAGUGGAGUCCACCUCCUGCUCCGUCCCACGAGUUGCAGUGCUGGCAGAGCGGGGAGAGGCGAUGCGAUCCGCGGGGAGAGGCGAUGCGAUCCGCGGGCCAAGGCAUCCCCUCCGGUCGGGGACGGAAUGUCUCACCGCCCCGCUGGUUGAUGGCCUCCGGCAGCAGGCAACGCCGAUUCCUGCGCCACGAGAGCAGGUGGUGGAGUUCUCGGAGGAGUUCCUGGCGUUCUCCGGCGGCCAAGCUGGCAGAGGUCGCGGGGUGGUCGAGCUGAGCGUCAGCCACGAGGAGGUGGUGUUGGAGGCUGUGGCCGACAUGCCUGAAGAACGCACUGCCCUUGUCAUCAGGCUGUUGUCCAAGAUGUCCGAAGACUUCCUCGCUGACUACGUUGCCAACCACACUCUGGUCGAGCCGGAGGAACGCCGGGGCAUCGUGGCAGAGGUGCAGAAGGAUGCCUGAAAGAUGUUGUUAACACGCCAAAGUCAAUUUUACUUUUCUCUUUGGUCUAUAUUUGUGCUGGCUGCCUUCAACAGACAUAUUUUCUAUCAAGUGCCGAGCUACAGCCCAGACACAAGCCAGUGGACUAUGAUUGCGGACUAGGAUACCCACUGGCAAGGUUGGGGUCAUAACUUACACGAGUCAAGUCUAGUGAGAGAAGGACAAAUGUGACAUAAUUCACAUUCAUACCCACAGGCCACAUAUAUCCUUGCCAAUUAGAGGCUUCUUUCCCACGCUAGGAAGGGUCCUUAGCCUAGGGAGGCGUCUGUGUCCUUGGCAAUUAGAGAGGCUUCUUUCUCAUCUUUUGCAUCUUCUUUUCUCCUGAGCCAAGGGAGGCUCAUACAGGAAGCCAUUCCUCAUGUGUCAAUUCUAGAGAUACGAGCGGCCCGGGUAAUCAAGAAACUGGGAGGCGGGAGUUCAGCACCAUGCUUAGCCAAUCAGAGCACAUUACUGAGUCCACGCCUGCCCAGUAUUGAAGUCACAACCCAUAGCCCAGGGGGCCGGAACGCUCCAGCUCUAGAAAACCGACAAAGAUCCGGACCUCGGUGACCUCAUAGCUGGCUACGGGCGUGCUUCUAAUGAUCACCAGAUGUCACCAAAUUAGCAACUGCCUACGCUCACAAACUACGCCGGCUAUUCCACACAGAAGUAAAUCAACCCAAGUGCAGAAGACAGACAGCAAGUGGCCAACAAACCAGACUGAAGAGAAGAGGAAGGCGGAGAAGGA